rnacentral:siRNA from 1 species
UAAACAAGUUCUAGGUGAUGU